rnacentral:rRNA from 1 species
GACGAACGCUGGCGGCGUGCCUAAUACAUGCAAGUCGAGCGGACCCCUUCGGACGUCAGCGGCGGACGGGUGUGUAACACGUGGGCAACCUGCCUGUAAGACUGGGAUACCACCGGGAAACCGGUGCUAAUACCGGAUAAUCCUUUUCCUCACAUGAGGGGAAGCUGAAAGACGGUUUCGGCUGUCACUUACAGAUGGGCGCGCGGUGCAUUAGCUAGUUGGUGGGGUAACGGCCCACCAAGGCGACGAAGCGUAGCCGACCUGCGAGGGUGGUCGGCCACACUGGGACUGAGACACGGCCCAGACUCCUACGGGAGGCAGCAGCAGGGGAUCUUCCGCAAUGGACGAAAGUCUGACGGAGCAACGCCGCGUGAGCGAAGAAGGCUGUCGGGUCGUAAAGCUCUGUUGUCAGGGAAGAACACGUACCGGAGUAACUGCCGGUACCUUGACGGUACCUGACCAGAAAGCCACGGCUAACUACGUGCCAGCAGCAGCCGCCGUAA